GAUGAACGCUGGCGGCGUGCCUAAUACAUGCAAGUCGAGCGAACAGACGAGGAGCUUGCUCCUCUGACGUUAGCGGCGGACGGGUGAGUAACACGUGGAUAACCUACCUAUAAGACUGGGAUAACUUCGGGAAACCGGAGCUAAUGCCGGAUAAUAUAUUGAACCGCAUGGUUCAAUAGUGAAAGACGGUUUUGCUGUCACUUAUAGAUGGAUUCGCGCCGCAUUAGCUAGUUGGUAAGGUAACGGCUUACCAAGGCAACGAUGCGUAGCCGACCUGAGAGGGUGAUCGGCCACACUGGAACUGAGACACGGUCCAGACUCCUACGGGAGGCAGCAGUAGGGAAUCUUCCGCAAUGGGCGAAAGCCUGACGGAGCAACGCCGCGUGAGUGAUGAAGGUCUUCGGAUCGUAAAACUCUGUUAUUAGGGAAGAACAAAUGUGUAAGUAACUAUGCACGUCUUGACGGUACCUAAUCAGAAAGCCACGGCUAACUACGUG
rnacentral:rRNA from 1 species